CGGACGGGUGAGUAACGCGUGGGUAACCUGCCUCAUACAGGGGGAUAACAGUUAGAAAUGGCUGCUAAUACCGCAUAAGCGCACAGUACCGCAUGGUACGGUGUGAAAAACUCCGGUGGUAUGAGAUGGACCCGCGUCUGAUUAGGUAGUUGGUGGGGUAACGGCCUACCAAGCCGACGAUCAGUAGCCGACCUGAGAGGGUGACCGGCCACACUGGGACUGAGACACGGCCCAG
rnacentral:rRNA from 1 species